rnacentral:rRNA from 1 species
GAACGGGUGAGUACACGUGGGUGAUCUGCCCUGCACUUUGGGAUAAGCCUGGGAAACUGGGUCUAAUACCGAAUAGGACCACGCGCUUCAUGGUGUGUGGUGGAAAGCUUUUGCGGUGUGGGAUGGGCCCGNGNNNUAUCAGCUUGUUGGUGGGGUAAUGGCCUACCAAGGCGACGACGGGUAGCCGGCCUGAGAGGGUGACCGGCCACACUGGGACUGAGAUACGGCCCAGACUCCUACGGGAGGCAGCAGUGGGGAAUAUUGCACAAUGGGCGCAAGCCUGAUGCAGCGACGCCGCGUGAGGGAUGACGGCCUUCGGGUUGUAAACCUCUUUCAAUAGGGACGAAGCGCAAGUGACGGUACCUAUAGAAGAAGCACCGGCCAACUACGUGCCAGCAGCCGCGGUAAUACGUAGGGUGCGAGCGUUGUCCGGAAUUACUGGGCGUAAAGAGCUCGUAGGUGGUUUGUCGCGUUGUUCGUGAAAACUCACAGCUUAACUGUGGGCGUGCGGGCGAUACGGGCAGACUAGAGUACUGCAGGGGAGACUGGAAUUCCUGGUGUAGCGGUGGAAUGCGCAGAUAUCAGGAGGAACACCGGUGGCGAAGGCGGGUCUCUGGGCAGUAACUGACGCUGAGGAGCGAAAGCGUGGGGAGCGAACAGGAUUAGAUACCCUGGUAGUCCACGCCGUANAUGGUGGGUACUAGGUGUGGGUUCCUUCC